UAAAAUAAAUGUACAUACCUUAAUUGAAAAAUACUUUAUUGCUGAAAAAUGCUAACCAUCAUCUGAGCCUGUAGCAAGUCAUAAUCUUCUUGCUGUUGGAGGGUUUGAAAUAUUUUGAGAAUUACCAAUAUUUGAAAGAGAAACAAAAUGAGCAA